rnacentral:rRNA from 1 species
UUGUCUCUCUUGAGUGGAUCCUGAGUACGACGGAGCACGUGAAAUUCCGUCGGAAUCUGGGAGGACCAUCUCCUAAGGCUAAAUACUCUCUAGUGACCGAUAGUGAACCAGUACCGUGAGGGAAAGGUGAAAAGCACCCCGGAAGGGGAGUGAAAUAGAACCUGAAACCGUGUGCUUACAAGUAGUCAGAGCCCGUUAAUGGGUGAUGGCGUGCCUUUUGUAGAAUGAACCGGCGAGUUACGAUUUGAUGCAAGGUUAAGCAGUAAAUGUGGAGCCGUAGCGAAAGCGAGUCUGAAUAGGGCGUUUAGUAUUUGGUCGUAGACCCGAAACCAGGUGAUCUACCCUUGGUCAGGUUGAAGUUCAGGUAACACUGAAUGGAGGACCGAACCGACUUACGUUGAAAAGUGAGCGGAUGAACUGAGGGUAGCGGAGAAAUUCCAAUCGAACCUGGAGAUAGCUGGUUCUCUCCGAAAUAGCUUUAGGGCUAGCCUCAAGUGAUGAUUAUUGGAGGUAGAGCACUGUUUGGACGAGGGGCCCCUCUCGGGUUACCGAAUUCAGACAAACUCCGAAUGCCAAUUAAUUUAACUUGGGAGUCAGAACAUGGGUGAUAAGGUCCGUGUUCGAAAGGGAAACAGCCCAGACCACCAGCUAAGGUCCCAAAAUAUAUGUUAAGUGGAAAAGGAUGUGGCGUUGCCCAGACAACUAGGAUGUUGGCUUAGAAGCAGCCAUCAUUUAAAGAGUGCGUAAUAGCUCACUAGUCGAGUGACACUGCGCCGAAAAUGUACCGGGGCUAAACAUAUUACCGAAGCUGUGGAUUGUCCUUUGGACAAUGGUAGGAGAGCGUUCUAAGGGCGUUGAAGCAUGAUCGUAAGGACAUGUGGAGCGCUUAGAAGUGAGAAUGCCGGUGUGAGUAGCGAAAGACGGGUGAGAAUCCCGUCCACCGAUUGACUAAGGUUUCCAGAGGAAGGCUCGUCCGCUCUGGGUUAGUCGGGUCCUAAGCUGAGGCCGACAGGCGUAGGCGAUGGAUAACAGGUUGAUAUUCCUGUACCACCUAUAAUCGUUUUAAUCGAUGGGGGGACGCAGUAGGAUAGGCGAAGCGUGCGAUUGGAUUGCACGUCUAAGCAGUAAGGCUGAGUAUUAGGCAAAUCCGGUACUCGUUAAGGCUGAGCUGUGAUGGGGAGAAGACAUUGUGUCUUCGAGUCGUUGAUUUCACACUGCCGAGAAAAGCCUCUAGAUAGAAAAUAGGUGCCCGUACCGCAAACCGACACAGGUAGUCAAGAUGAGAAUUCUAAGGUGAGCGAGCGAACUCUCGUUAAGGAACUCGGCAAAAUGACCCCGUAACUUCGGGAGAAGGGGUGCUCUUUAGGGUUAACGCCCAGAAGAGCCGCAGUGAAUAGGCCCAAGCGACUGUUUAUCAAAAACACAGGUCUCUGCUAAACCGUAAGGUGAUGUAUAGGGGCUGACGCCUGCCCGGUGCUGGAAGGUUAAGAGGAGUGGUUAGCUUCUGCGAAGCUACGAAUCGAAGCCCCAGUAAACGGCGGCCGUAACUAUAACGGUCCUAAGGUAGCGAAAUUCCUUGUCGGGUAAGUUCCGACCCGCACGAAAGGCGUAACGAUUUGGGCACUGUCUCAACGAGAGACUCGGUGAAAUCAUAGUACCUGUGAAGAUGCAGGUUACCCGCGACAGGACGGAAAGACCCCGUGGAGCUUUACUGUAGCCUGAUAUUGAAAUUCGGCACAGCUUGUACAGGAUAGGUAGGAGCCUUUGAAACGUGAGCGCUAGCUUACGUGGAGGCGCUGGUGGGAUACUACCCUAGCUGUGUUGGCUUUCUAACCCGCACCACUUAUCGUGGUGGGAGACAGUGUCAGGCGGGCAGUUUGACUGGGGCGGUCGCCUCCUAAAAGGUAACGGAGGCGCUCAAAGGUUCCCUCAGAAUGGUUGGAAAUCAUUCAUAGAGUGUAAAGGCAUAAGGGAGCUUGACUGCGAGACCUACAAGUCGAGCAGGGUCGAAAGACGGACUUAGUGAUCCGGUGGUUCCGCAUGGAAGGGCCAUCGCUCAACGGAUAAAAGCUACCCCGGGGAUAACAGGCUUAUCUCCCCCAAGAGUUCACAUCGACGGGGAGGUUUGGCACCUCGAUGUCGGCUCAUCGCAUCCUGGGGCUGUAGUCGGUCCCAAGGGUUGGGCUGUUCGCCCAUUAAAGCGGUACGCGAGCUGGGUUCAGAACGUCGUGAGACAGUUCGGUCCCUAUCCGUCGUGGGCGUAGGAAAUUUGAGAGGAGCUGUCCUUAGUACGAGAGGACCGGGAUGGACAUACCUCUGGUGUACCAGUUGUCGUGCCAACGGCAUAGCUGGGUAGCUAUGUGUGGACGGGAUAAGUGCUGAAAGCAUCUAAGCAUGAAGCCCCCCUCAAGAUGAGAUUUCCCAACUUCGGUUAUAAGAUCCCUCAAAGAUGAUGAGGUUAAUAGGUUCGAGGUGGAAGCAUGGUGACAUGUGGAGCUGACGAAUACUAAUCGAUCGAAGACUUAAU